AGGAACUCACCCGCUAGGACCGUCCUUCGGGUUUACUCCAACCCGUGAUGCAUAACUCCGGAGCGCAUCGCCCGAGGGGGAGCGACCGCCCUCGAGCACGGAACUCAUAGCAAGUAUGAUCAUAUCCUUAACUCAAAGGAUUUAUAAGUUCAAUCUUGACUUUACACUAGCUCUAGUGUCCUUUACAUCACUUUAUGUUGCAAACUCAUGCAAUCACAUUCUUUACAUUUCUUUACUUCUGCUAGCUCUAGCAUUCUUGUUCGUUACAUUUCUUGUUCUUAUUGCCCCACUUUACUUUAACUUUACUCAUUAUCAUUUUCAUCAUUCUUUACAUUACAUUGGCUCUUUACCUCAUACUAUCUCUAGUGUCAUUUUACAUUAACUUUAUCAAAUGCCACUCGAUCUAUGUCAUAGUGUCACUCUGU
rnacentral:lncRNA from 1 species